UACGGAGGGUGCAAGCGUUAUCCGGAUUCACUGGGUUUAAAGGGUGCGUAGGAGGGCAGGUAAGUCCGUGGUGAAAUCUCUGAGCUUAACUCAGAAACUGCCGUGGAUACUACCGGUCUUGAAUAUCAUGGAGGUGAGCGGAAUAUGUCAUGUAGCGGUGAAAUGCUUAGAUAUGACAUAGAACACCAAUUGCGAAGGCAGCUCACUACCCGAAUAUUGACUCUGAGGCACGAAAGCGUGGGGAUCAAACAGG
rnacentral:rRNA from 1 species